AUUGAACGCUGGCGGCAUGCUUUACACAUGCAAGUCGAACGGCAGCGCGGGCUUCGGCCUGACGGCGAGUGGCGAACGGGUGAGUAAUACAUCGGAACGUGCCCAGUAGUGGGGGAUAGCUCGGCGAAAGCCGGAUUAAUACCGCAUACGACCUGAGGGUGAAAGCGGGGGAUCUUCGGACCUCGCGCUAUUGGAGCGGCCGAUGGCAGAUUAGCUAGUUGGUGGGGUAAAGGCCUACCAAGGCGACGAUCUGUAGCUGGUCUGAGAGGACGACCAGCCACACUGGGACUGAGACACGGCCCAGACUCCUACGGGAGGCAGCAGUGGGGAAUUUUGGACAAAGGGCGAAAGCCUGAUCCAGCAAUGCCGCGUGUGUGAUGAAGGCCUUCGGGUUGUAAAGCACUUUUGGCGGGAACGAAAAGGACUGUGCCAAUACCACGGUUCGAUGACGGUACCCGCAGAAUAAGCACCGGCUAACUACGUG
rnacentral:rRNA from 1 species